GACGAACGCUGGCGGCGUGCUUAACACAUGCAAGUCGAACGGAAAGGCCUGCUUUCCCUUGUGGAUUGCGGGUACUCGAGUGGCGAACGGGUGAGUAACACGUGAGUGAUCUGCCCCCAACUUGGGUAUAAGCCUGGGAAACAGGGUCUAAUUCCCGAUAGGACUGCAGGGUGGUGGCUGUGGUGGAAAACGAUUUUCUAGUGGUUGGGGAUGAGCUCGCGGCCUAUCAGCUUGUUGGUGGGGUAAUGGCCUACCAAGGCGGCGACGGGUAGCCGGCCUGGGAGGGUGGACGGCCACAUUGGGACUGAGAUACGGCCCAGACUCCUACGGCAGGCAGCAGUGGGGAAUAUUGCACAAUGGGCGGAAGCCUGAUGCAGCGACGCCGCGUGGGGGAUGACGGCCUUCGGGUUGUAAACUCCUUUCGACCGCGAGGAAGCCACCUGGUUGGAAGGGUGGUGACGGUAGUGGUAGAAGAAGCACCGGCUAACUACGUG
rnacentral:rRNA from 1 species